UAUGCUUUAUUUCUUACAUGCAAAGAAGAAGAAAAAAUGGUUAAAACUCUAAAGUUUAUGAACGUUAUUAUUUUCUUUCUUUCUCUUUUCCUUUUUGCACAUAACAUUUUCCUUGUUGCACAGAACUUUGACGCGUUUACUAAAUGUGUAACUGUUGGUGAUUGUCCACCAGAUACUAAGUAUAUGAAAUAUAGGUGCGAACAAAACAUAUGUAUAUGUCGUUGGAUUGUAUGAGUACUGGACCUAAUAGGUUGCCCUUACGCCAUGAAGGGAAGAAGAAAAUAAUAUAUAAUACCUUUUGUUAGAAUA